GACGAACGCUGGCGGCGUGCUUAACACAUGCAAGUCGAACGGUAAGGCCCUUCUGGUUACACGAGUGCCAAACGGGUGAGUGACACUUGCGUGAUCUUCCCUUCACCUCGGGAUUAGCCUGGCAAACUGGAACUAAUGCUGAUUACGGCCAGAAGCCCCAGCUCCUUGGGGGGGGCUCGUAUGCUUCGGCGGUUGGGGGUGCGGCCGAUCAUCUUGUUGGUGUGGUGGUGGUCUACCAAGGCGACGACGGUAAGCCGGCCCGGGAGGGUGGCCGGCAACACUGGGACUGAGAUAGGGCCCAGGCUACUACGGGAGGCAGCAGUGGGGAAAACUGCACAGUGGGCGAAAGACUGAGGCAGCGACGCAGCGUGGGGGAUGACGGCCGUGGGGUUGUAAACCUCUUUCAACACCGCUGAAGGUCCGGGUGUUCUCGGGCUGACGGUAGGUGGAGAAGAAGCACCGGCCAACUACGUG
rnacentral:rRNA from 1 species